rnacentral:tRNA from 1 species
CAAUGUUUGGUUGACGGAGCGGGGCGUUUCUCUUGAAAACGCUGGUCGGGAGAUGAUCCUGGAUCAUCUGGCGUGGC